rnacentral:sRNA from 12 species
GACCUAACCCUUCGGGAUAAAUUCGGAAGGUAUGGUCGAAAGUCGCAUCGAGUACAAAGACCCCAUCAUCAGGGUCGCUCGAUGCGCCAUAUAGGGAAACCUGUAUGUGAGCCGCAAGGCUCU